UGAGGUUUGUGCUCAGUGGUAGAGUGCUAGCCUAGCAUGCAUGAGGCACUGAGUUCGAUCCUCAGCACCACAU
rnacentral:tRNA from 1 species